AGAGUUUGAUCAUGCUUCAGGAUGAACGCUGGCGGCGUGCCUAAUACAUGCAAGUCGAGCGAACAGAUAAGGAGCUUGCUCCUUUGACGUUAGCGGCGGACGGGUGAGUAACACGUGGGUAACCUACCUGUAAGACUGGGAUAACUUCGGGAAACCGGAGCUAAUACCGGAUAAUAUUUCGAACCGCAUGGUUCGAUAGUGAAAGAUGGUUUUGCUAUCACUUAUAGAUGGACCCGCGCCGUAUUAGCUAGUUGGUAAGGUAACGGCUUACCAAGGCAACGAUACGUAGCCGACCUGAGAGGGUGAUCGGCCACACUGGAACUGAGACACGGUCCAGACUCCUACGGGAGGCAGCAGUAGGGAAUCUUCCGCAAUGGGCGAAAGCCUGACGGAGCAACGCCGCGUGAGUGAUGAAGGUCUUCGGAUCGUAAAACUCUGUUAUUAGGGAAGAACAUACGUGUAAGUAACUAUGCACGUCUUGACGGUACCUAAUCAGAAAGCCACGGCUAACUACGCGCCAGCAGCCGCGGUAAUACGUAGGUGGCAAGCGUUAUCCGGAAUUAUUGGGCGUAAAGCGCGCGUAGGCGGUUUUUUAAGUCUGAUGUGAAAGCCCACGGCUCAACCGUGGAGAGUCAUUGGAAACUGGAAAACUUGAGUGCAGAAGAGGAAAGUGGAAUUCCAUGUGUAGCGGUGAAAUGCGCAGAGAUAUGGAGGAACACCAGUGGCGAAGGCGACUUUCUGGUCUGUAACUGACGCUGAUGUGCGAAAGCGUGGGGAUCAAACAGGAUUAGAUACCCUGGUAGUCC
rnacentral:rRNA from 1 species